UAGUCCACGCCGUAAACAAUGGACACUUGGUGUUGGAGGUAUUGACCCCUUCAGUGCCGGAGCUAACGCGUUAAGUGUCCCGCCUGGGGAGUACGGUCGCAAGAUUAAAACUCAAAGAAAUUGACGGGGGCCCGCACAAGCGGUGGAGCAUGUGGUUUAAUUCGAUGCAACGCGAAAUACCUUACCUGGGUUUGAAUUGCAGUGGACCACGCCAGAGAUGGCGUUUCUCUUCGGAGUCGCUGUGAAGGUGCUGCAUGGCUGUCGUCAGCUCGUGUCGUGAGAUGUUGGGUUAAGUCCCGCAACGAGCGCAACCCUUACCUUUAGUUGCCAGCAUUUAGUUGGGCACUCUAAAGGGACUGCCGACGUUAAGUCGGAGGAAGGUGGGGAUGACGUCAAGUCCUCAUGGCCCUUAUGUCCAGGGCUACACACGUGCUACAAUGGCCGUGACAAAGAGUUGCUACUUUGUGAAAACAAGCUAAUCUCAUAAACGCGGCCUCAGUUCGGAUUGCAGGCUGAAA
rnacentral:rRNA from 1 species